rnacentral:rRNA from 1 species
UACGUAGGGUGCAAGCGUUGUCCGGGAUUAUUGGGCGUAAAGCGCACGUAGGCGGCUUCUUAAGUCAGGGGUGAAAUCCUGGAGCUCAACUCCAGAACUGCCUUUGAUACUGAGGAGCUUGAGUCCGGGAGAGGUGAGUGGAACUGCGAGUGUAGAGGUGAAAUUCGUAGAUAUUCGCAAGAACACCAGUGGCGAAGGCGGCUCACUGGCCCGGUACUGACGCUGAGGUGCGAAAGCGUGGGGAGCAAACAGG